rnacentral:rRNA from 1 species
UACGGGGGGAGCAAGCGUUGUUCGGAUUUACUGGGCGUAAAGGGCGCGUAGGCGGCCAGCACAAGUCAGUUGUGAAAUCUCCGAGCUUAACUCGGAAAGGUCAACUGAUACUGUGCGGCUAGAGUGCGGAAGGGGCAACUGGAAUUCUUGGUGUAGCGGUGAAAUGCGUAGAUAUCAAGAGGAACACCUGCGGCGAAGUCGGGUUGCUGGGCCGACACUGACGCUGAGGCGCGAAAGCCAGGGGAGCGAACGGG